rnacentral:rRNA from 1 species
UACGGAGGUGGCAAGCGUUGCUCGGAAUCACUGGGCGUAAAGCGUGCGCAGGCGGUUGUGCAAGACCGAUGUGAAAUCCCCGGGCUUAACCUGGGAAUGGCAUUGGUGACUGCACGGCUAGAGUGUGUCAGAGGGGGGUAGAAUUCCACGUGUAGCAGUGAAAUGCGUAGAUAUCGGGAGGAACAUCAGUGGCGAAGGCGGCCUUCUGGUCCAGUACUGACACUCAAGUGCGAAAGCGUGGGGAGCAAACAGG